rnacentral:rRNA from 1 species
GUUGGGUAGGGGAGCGUUCUGUAAGCCUGUGAAGGUGUGUCGUGAGGCAUGCUGGAGGUAUCAGAAGUGCGAAUGCUGACAUAAGUAACGAUAAAGCGGGUGAAAAGCCCGCUCGCCGGAAGACCAAGGGUUCCUGUCCAACGUUAAUCGGGGCAGGGUGAGUCGACCCCUAAGGCGAGGCCGAAAGGCGUAGUCGAUGGGAAACGGGUUAAUAUUCCCGUACUUGGUGUUACUGCGAAGGGGGGACGGAGAAGGCUAUGUUGGCCGGGCGACGGUUGUCCCGGUUUAAGCGUGUAGGUGUGUGUUCCAGGUAAAUCCGGUUCACUUUAACACUGAGGCGUGAUGACGAGGCACUACGGUGCUGAAGCAACAAAUGCCCUGCUUCCAGGAAAAGCCUCUAAGCAUCAGGUAACAUCAAAUCGUACCCCAAACCGACACAGGUGGUCAGGUAGAGAAUACCAAGGCGCUUGAGAGAACUCGGGUGAAGGAACUAGGCAAAAUGGUGCCGUAACUUCGGGAGAAGGCACGCUGACAUGUAGGUGAAGUGAUUUACUCAUGGAGCUGAAGUCAGUCGAAGAUACCAGCUGGCUGCAACUGUUUAUUAAAAACACAGCACUGUGCAAACACGAAAGUGGACGUAUACGGUGUGACGCCUGCCCGGUGCCGGAAGGUUAAUUGAUGGGGUCAGCGCAAGCGAAGCUCCUGAUCGAAGCCCCGGUAAACGGCGGCCGUAACUAUAACGGUCCUAAGGUAGCGAAAUUCCUUGUCGGGUAAGUUCCGACCUGCACGAAUGGCGUAAUGAUGGCCAGGCUGUCUCCACCCGAGACUCAGUGAAAUUGAACUCGCUGUGAAGAUGCAGUGUACCCGCGGCAAGACGGAAAGACCCCGUGAACCUUUACUAUAGCUUGACACUGAACAUUGAGCCUUGAUGUGUAGGAUAGGUGGGAGGCUUUGAAGCGUGGACGCCAGUCUGCGUGGAGCCGACCUUGAAAUACCACCCUUUAAUGUUUGAUGUUCUAACGUGGACCCGUGAUCCGGGUUGCGGACAGUGUCUGGUGGGUAGUUUGACUGGGGCGGUCUCCUCCUAAAGAGUAACGGAGGAGCACGAAGGUUGGCUAAUCCUGGUCGGACAUCAGGAGGUUAGUGCAAUGGCAUAAGCCAGCUUGACUGCGAGCGUGACGGCGCGAGCAGGUGCGAAAGCAGGUCAUAGUGAUCCGGUGGUUCUGAAUGGAAGGGCCAUCGCUCAACGGAUAAAAGGUACUCCGGGGAUAACAGGCUGAUACCGCCCAAGAGUUCAUAUCGACGGCGGUGUUUGGCACCUCGAUGUCGGCUCAUCACAUCCUGGGGCUGAAGUAGGUCCCAAGGGUAUGGCUGUUCGCCAUUUAAAGUGGUACGCGAGCUGGGUUUAGAACGUCGUGAGACAGUUCGGUCCCUAUCUGCCGUGGGCGCUGGAGAACUGAGGGGGGCUGCUCCUAGUACGAGAGGACCGGAGUGGACGCAUCACUGGUGUUCGGGUUGUCAUGCCAAUGGCACUGCCCGGUAGCUAAAUGCGGAAGAGAUAAGUGCUGAAAGCAUCUAAGCACGAAACUUGCCCCGAGAUGAGUUCUCCCUGAGACUUAGAGUCUCCUGAAGGAACGUUGAAGACGACGACGUUGAUAGGCCGGGUGUGUAAGCGCAGCGAUGCGUUGAGCUAACCGGUACUAAUGAACCGUGAGGCUUAACCUUACAACGCCGAAG